UACGAAGGGGGCUAGCGUUGCUCGGAAUUACUGGGCGUAAAGCGCACGUAGGCGGUUUCUUAAGUCAGGGGUGAAAUCCUGGAGCUCAACUCCAGAACUGCCUUUGAUACUGGGGAUCUCGAGUCCGGGAGAGGUGAGUGGAACUGCGAGUGUAGAGGUGAAAUUCGUAGAUAUUCGCAAGAACACCAGUGGCGAAGGCGGCUCACUGGCCCGGUACUGACGCUGAGGUGCGAAAGCGUGGGGAGCAAACAGG
rnacentral:rRNA from 1 species